rnacentral:rRNA from 1 species
CCUACGGGUGACAGCAGUGAGGAAUAUUGGUCAAUGGCCGAAAGCCUGAACCAGCCAAGUCGCGUGAGGGAAGAAUGUCCUAUGGAUUGUAAACCGCUUUUGUCAGGGAGCAAAGUCCCCUACGUGUGGGGGUUGGAGAGUACCUGAAGAAAAAGCAUCGGCUAAUUCCGUGCCAGCAGCCGCGGUAAUACGGAGGUUGCGGGCGUUAUCCGGAUUUAUUGGGUUUAAAGGGUGCGUAGGCGGGUUAUCAGGCCAGAGGUAAAAUCGUGGAGCUAAACUCCGUCCUGCCGUGGAAACUGAUGAUCUUGAGUGCGCGAGAGGUAGGCGGAAUGCGUGGUGUAGCGGUGAAAUGCAUAGAUAUCACGCAGAACCCCGAUUGCGAAGGCAGCUUACUGGAGCCCGACUGACGCUGAAGCACGAAAGCGUGGGUAUCGAACAGGAUUAGAUACCCGUGUAGUC